rnacentral:rRNA from 1 species
GUGCCAGCCGCCGCGGUAAUACGGAGGGUGCAAGCGUUGUCCGGAUUUAUUGGGUUUAAAGGGUGCGUAGGCGGCCGAUUAAGUCAGUGGUGAAAGCCUAUAGCUUAACUAUAGAAUUGCCAUUGAUACUGGUUGGCUUGAGUUCGAUUGAGGUAGGCGGAAUUUGUGGUGUAGCGGUGAAAUGCAUAGAUACCACAAGGAACACCGAUAGCGUAGGCAGCUUACUAAGUCGACACUGACGCUGAGGCACGAAAGCGUGGGGAGCGAACAGGAUUAGAAACCCCUGUAGUCC